rnacentral:rRNA from 1 species
GACGAACGCUGGCGGCGUGCCUCAAACAUGCAAGUCGAGCGUGGGUGUGUUGCCUCGCAAGAGGCGGCACACUCUAGCGGCGAACGGGUGCGUAACACGUGGGGAACCUACCCUCCAGACGGGGACAACCUCGGGAAACCGGGGCUAAUACCGGAUACGUUCGCUGGGUCGCAUGGCCCGGCGAGGAAAAGGUCGCAAGAUCGCUGGAGGACGGCUCCGCGGCCUAUCAGCUUGUUGGUGAGGUAACGGCCCACCAAGGCGAUGACGGGU